ACUGGGACAGCUCAGUCAGUACAGCAUGAGACUCUUAAUCUGAGGGCUGUGGGUUUGAGUUCCACAAAAGAUUCCUGCA